rnacentral:tRNA from 2 species
CCGCCCUUAGCUCAGUUGGUCAGAGCGCCUUGCUUAUACCAAGGAUGCCCCACGUUCGAGUCGUGGAGGGCGGACAA